GGUACCACUUACCACCCAAAGCUCAGCGCUUUGGGUGGUUUUUGUUGUGCUGGUGGGGCGUAGGGGAGGGGCGGGG
rnacentral:tRNA from 1 species